rnacentral:lncRNA from 1 species
AUCCAAUCAGGGAAAGGUUAUGAGUCUGAGAUUAUAAUUAUGGUGUCUCCCUGUGUCUCCUGUGUGGUAAGAAGCCAGCCUUGGCAGCGUUAGCUAAAAGCAAGCUCAGUUCCUCCUCGGAGCAGCCCCUGGACCUCAGAUUACUGCCAGACCCUCCAGUGCAUGCACGCGGCCCACCCCCUUGACCCCCAAGAGAAGUGGAUCUGUCUGCUCCUCACUGCUUCUCUCCAACCAGGAGAAACUGGAAUUCAUGUUCACAAGGACGCCAGCCUGUGGGUGAUGUGUCCUCAGAUCCAGUCCUCGCCCUGCCCAUGUCCAUUA